rnacentral:rRNA from 1 species
UACGUAGGGGGCAAGCGUUGUCCGGAAUCAUUGGGCGUAAAGAGCGCGUAGGCGGCCCUGUAAGUCCGCUGUGAAAGUCAAAGGGCUCAACCCUUGGAUGCCGGUGGAUACUGCAGGGCUAGAGUCCGGAAGAGGCGAGUGGAAUUCCUGGUGUAGCGGUGAAAUGCGCAGAUAUCAGGAGGAACACCGAUGGCGAAGGCAGCUCGCUGGGACGGUACUGACGCUGAGGCGCGAAAGCGUGGGGAGCAAACAGG